GGAAACGACAGCUAAUACCGGCAUGAUGACGUAAGUCCAAAGAUUUAUCGCCAGAGGAUGAGCCCGCGUCGGAUUAGCUAGUUGGUGGGGUAAAGGCCCACCAAGGCGACGAUCCGUAGCGGGUCUGAGAGGAUGAUCAGCCACACUGGGACUGAGACACGGCCCAGACUCCUACGGGAGGCAGCAGUGGGGAAUAUUGGACAAUGGGCGAAAGCCUGAUCCAGCAAUGCCGCGUGAGUGAUGAAGGCCUUAGGGUUGUAAAGCUCUUUUACCCGGGAUGAUAAUGACAGUACCGGGAGAAUAAGCUCCGGCUAACUCCGUGCCAGCAGCCGCGGUAAUACGGAGGGAGCUAGCGUUGUUCGGAAUUACUGGGCGU
rnacentral:rRNA from 1 species